AAACUAUGUGCGAUGAAGGGUGGGGUGGGAAAAAGCACUCUCUUAUUAAAAUAUUUGUUAUGUAACUUCAACCAAUACACGUCACCUACUGAGUAAAGGAUAUUGUUCAUUCUGAGCAAUUACUCAAAUUGUUUCACAGUGUGUUCUAUUUAUUUGUAUGAGCAUGGUUAAUAUGCAAACUGGAUCAUCCCUUGGAAACCUGAAAGUGAAUUUUGUGAUAAUACAAGGAAUCCUAGGGUAAUCAUACCAGAUGUCUUCUGCAUGCCUUAAUUUACAAAUGCCAACAAUAAAAAGGAGGAAGAAGGAGCCAGGAAGAUUGGAUGCAGUAGCCACCAAGAUAUACUGCCCUAUUCACAAGU
rnacentral:lncRNA from 1 species